UUUAAAGGGCUGCGGUAAUUUGACCGUGCAAAGGUAGCAUAAUCAAUAGUCUUUUAAUUGGAGGCUUGAAUGAAAGGUUUGACGGAGGAGAAGCUGUCUUUUUAUUAGAAUUGAAUUUAACUUUUGUGUAAGAAGGCAUUAAUGAUUUAGAGGGACGAUAAGACCCUAUAAAACUUUAUAUAUUAUAUUUAUUUAAUAAAAUAGUUAAUUAAUUAUUGGUGGUUAAUUAUAUUUUGCUGGGGUGGCAGGAAUAUAAUUCUAACUGUUUUAAAUGUAAAAUAUUUAUUAAUAGAGAGUGGUCCUUUGGUUGAGAGUUGAGAGUAAGUUACUUUAGGGAUAACAGCAUAAUUUCUUUUGAGAGUUCUUAUCGAAGAUGGUAGUUGUGACCUCGAUGUUGAAUUAAAUUUUCCUUUUAAUGUAGGAGUU
rnacentral:rRNA from 1 species